CACGUAGGGGGCGAGCGUUGUCCGGAUUUACUGGGCGUAAAGCGCGUGUAGGCGGUUGUUCAAGUCAGGUGUGAAAGCCUUGAGCUCAACUCAAGAAAUGCACUUGAUACUGGAUGACUAGAGGACCGGAGAGGAUAGUGGAAUUCCCAGUGUAGUGGUGAAAUACGUAGAGAUUGGGAAGAACACCAGUGGCGAAGGCGGCUAUCUGGACGGUUUCUGACGCUAAGACGCGAAAGCGUGGGGAGCA
rnacentral:rRNA from 1 species